rnacentral:rRNA from 1 species
UGGGGAAUAUUGCACAAUGGGCGGAAGCCUGAUGCAGCCAUGCCGCGUGUAUGAAGAAGGCCUUCGGGUUGUAAAGUACUUUCAGCGGGGAGGAAGGUGUUGUGGUUAAUAACCACAGCAAUUGACGUUACCCGCAGAAGAAGCACCGGCUAACUCCGUGCCAGCAGCCGCGGUAAUACGGAGGGUGCAAGCGUUAAUCGGAAUUACUGGGCGUAAAGCGCACGCAGGCGGUCUGUCAAUUGGGAUGUGAAAUCCCCGGGCUCAACCUGGGAACUGCAUCCGAAACUGGCAGGCUUGAGUCUUGUAGAGGGGGGUAGAAUUCCAGGUGUAGCGGUGAAAUGCGUAGAGAUCUGGAGGAAUACCGGUGGCGAAGGCGGCCCCCUGGACAAAGACUGACGCUCAGGUGCGAAAGCGUGGGGAGCAAACA